CAGCAGCCCGAGUGGUGAUCGUUUUUAUUGGGCCUAAAGCGUCCGUAGCCGGUCUAGUAAAUCCUUGGAUAAAUCGUGCAGCUUAACUGUACGACUCCCGGGGAGACUGCUAGACUUGGGACUGGGAGAGGUCGGAGGUACUCCAGGGGUAGGGGUGAAAUCCUGUAAUCCUUGGGGGACCACCAGUGGCGAAGGCGUCCGACUAGAACGGGUCCGACGGUAAGGGACGAAGCCCUGGGGCGCGAACCGGAUUAGAUACCCGAGUAGUCC
rnacentral:rRNA from 1 species